rnacentral:rRNA from 1 species
AUUGAACGCUGGCGGCAGGCCUAACACAUGCAAGUCGAACGAGUGGCGGACGGGUGAGUAAUGUCUGGGAAACUGCCUGAUGGAGCGGGAUAACUACUGGAACCCGUAGCUAAUCCCGCAUACCAUCCGUUGUGCUCAGAUGGGAUUAGCUAGUAGGUGGGGGAACGGCUCACCUAGGCGACGAUCCCUAGCUGGUCUGAGAGGAUGACCAGCCAAACUGGAACUGAGACACGGUCCAGACUCCUACGGGAGGCAGCAGUGGGGAAUAUUGCGCAAUGGGCGCAAGCCUGAUGCAGCCAUGCCGCGUGUAUGAAGAAGGCCUUCGGGUUGUAAAGUACUUUCGGCGGUGAGGCGUUACCCGAAGAAGAAGCACCGGCUAACUCCGUGCCAGCAGCCGCGGUAAUAC